rnacentral:rRNA from 1 species
GGUUAAGCGACUAAGCGUACACGGUGGAUGCCCUGGCAGUCAGAGGCGAUGAAGGACGUGCUAAUCUGCGAUAAGCGUCGGUGAGGUGAUAUGAACCGUUAUAACCGGCGAUUUCCGAAUGGGGAAACCCAGUGUGUUUCGACACACUAUCAUUAACUGAAUCCAUAGGUUAAUGAGGCGAACCGGGGGAACUGAACAUCUAAGUACCCCGAGGAAAAGAAAUCAACCGAGAUUCCCCCAGUAGCGGCGAGCGAACGGGGAGGAGCCCAGAGCCUGAAUCAGUGUGUGUGUUAGUGGAAGCGUCUGGAAAGGCGUGCGAUACAGGGUGACAGCCCCGUACACAAAAAUGCACAUAUUGUGAGCUCGAUGAGUAGGGCGGGACACGUGGUAUCCUGUCUGAAUAUGGGGGGACCAUCCUCCAAGGCUAAAUACUCCUGACUGACCGAUAGUGAACCAGUACCGUGAGGGAAAGGCGAAAAGAACCCCGGCGAGGGGAGUGAAAAAGAACCUGAAACCGUGUACGUACAAGCAGUGGGAGCCUCUUAAUGGGGUGACUGCGUACCUUUUGUAUAAUGGGUCAGCGACUUAUAUUCUGUAGCAAGGUUAACCGAAUAGGGGAGCCGAAGGGAAACCGAGUCUUAACUGGGCGUUAAGUUGCAGGGUAUAGACCCGAAACCCGGUGAUCUAGCCAUGGGCAGGUUGAAGGUUGGGUAACACUAACUGGAGGACCGAACCGACUAAUGUUGAAAAAUUAGCGGAUGACUUGUGGCUGGGGGUGAAAGGCCAAUCAAACCGGGAGAUAGCUGGUUCUCCCCGAAAGCUAUUUAGGUAGCGCCUCGUGAAUUCAUCUCCGGGGGUAGAGCACUGUUUCGGCAAGGGGGUCAUCCCGACUUACCAACCCGAUGCAAACUGCGAAUACCGGAGAAUGUUAUCACGGGAGACACACGGCGGGUGCUAACGUCCGUCGUGAAGAGGGAAACAACCCAGACCGCCAGCUAAGGUCCCAAAGUCAUGGUUAAGUGGGAAACGAUGUGGGAAGGCCCAGACAGCCAGGAUGUUGGCUUAGAAGCAGCCAUCAUUUAAAGAAAGCGUAAUAGCUCACUGGUCGAGUCGGCCUGCGCGGAAGAUGUAACGGGGCUAAACCAUGCACCGAAGCUGCGGCAGCGACACUAUGUGUUGUUGGGUAGGGGAGCGUUCUGUAAGCCUGUGAAGGUGGCCUGUGAGGGUUGCUGGAGGUAUCAGAAGUGCGAAUGCUGACAUAAGUAACGAUAAAGCGGGUGAAAAGCCCGCUCGCCGGAAGACCAAGGGUUCCUGUCCAACGUUAAUCGGGGCAGGGUGAGUCGACCCCUAAGGCGAGGCCGAAAGGCGUAGUCGAUGGGAAACAGGUUAAUAUUCCUGUACUUGGUGUUACUGCGAAGGGGGGACGGAGAAGGCUAUGUUGGCCGGGCGACGGUUGUCCCGGUUUAAGCGUGUAGGCUGGUUUUCCAGGCAAAUCCGGAAAAUCAAGGCUGAGGCGUGAUGACGAGGCACUACGGUGCUGAAGCAACAAAUGCCCUGCUUCCAGGAAAAGCCUCUAAGCAUCAGGUAACAUCAAAUCGUACCCCAAACCGACACAGGUGGUCAGGUAGAGAAUACCAAGGCGCUUGAGAGAACUCGGGUGAAGGAACUAGGCAAAAUGGUGCCGUAACUUCGGGAGAAGGCACGCUGAUAUGUAGGUGAAGCGACUUGCUCGUGGAGCUGAAAUCAGUCGAAGAUACCAGCUGGCUGCAACUGUUUAUUAAAAACACAGCACUGUGCAAACACGAAAGUGGACGUAUACGGUGUGACGCCUGCCCGGUGCCGGAAGGUUAAUUGAUGGGGUUAGCGGCAACGCGAAGCUCUUGAUCGAAGCCCCGGUAAACGGCGGCCGUAACUAUAACGGUCCUAAGGUAGCGAAAUUCCUUGUCGGGUAAGUUCCGACCUGCACGAAUGGCGUAAUGAUGGCCAGGCUGUCUCCACCCGAGACUCAGUGAAAUUGAACUCGCUGUGAAGAUGCAGUGUACCCGCGGCAAGACGGAAAGACCCCGUGAACCUUUACUAUAGCUUGACACUGAACAUUGAGCCUUGAUGUGUAGGAUAGGUGGGAGGCUUUGAAGUGUGGACGCCAGUCUGCAUGGAGCCGACCUUGAAAUACCACCCUUUAAUGUUUGAUGUUCUAACGUUGGCCCGUAAUCCGGGUUGCGGACAGUGUCUGGUGGGUAGUUUGACUGGGGCGGUCUCCUCCUAAAGAGUAACGGAGGAGCACGAAGGUUGGCUAAUCCUGGUCGGACAUCAGGAGGUUAGUGCAAUGGCAUAAGCCAGCUUGACUGCGAGCGUGACGGCGCGAGCAGGUGCGAAAGCAGGUCAUAGUGAUCCGGUGGUUCUGAAUGGAAGGGCCAUCGCUCAACGGAUAAAAGGUACUCCGGGGAUAACAGGCUGAUACCGCCCAAGAGUUCAUAUCGACGGCGGUGUUUGGCACCUCGAUGUCGGCUCAUCACAUCCUGGGGCUGAAGUAGGUCCCAAGGGUAUGGCUGUUCGCCAUUUAAAGUGGUACGCGAGCUGGGUUUAGAACGUCGUGAGACAGUUCGGUCCCUAUCUGCCGUGGGCGCUGGAGAACUGAGGGGGGCUGCUCCUAGUACGAGAGGACCGGAGUGGACGCAUCACUGGUGUUCGGGUUGUCAUGCCAAUGGCACUGCCCGGUAGCUAAAUGCGGAAGAGAUAAGUGCUGAAAGCAUCUAAGCACGAAACUUGCCCCGAGAUGAGUUCUCCCUGACUCCUUGAGAGUCCUGAAGGAACGUUGAAGACGACGACGUUGAUAGGCCGGGUGUGUAAGCGCAGCGAUGCGUUGAGCUAACCGGUACUAAUGAACCGUGAGGCUUAACCUU